AAAGCUUCAAACUGGGAUUAGAUACCCCACUAUGCUUAGCCAUAAACAAAGACAUUAAAAUACAACAAUGUUCGCCCGGACACUACAAGCAUAAGCUCAAAACCCAAAGGACCUGACGGUGCCUUAGACCCCCCUAGAGGAGCCUGUUCUAGAACCGAUUAUCCCCGUUAAACCUCACCAUUUUUAGUAACAUCAGCCUAUAUACCACCGUCGCCAGCUUACCCUGUGAAGGCAUAACAGUAAGCAAGAUGGGCAUAGCCCAAAAAGUCAGGUCGAGGUGUAGCACAUGAAAUGGGAAGAAAUGGGCUACAUUUUCUACCCCAGAAUAUACGAAUAUGUAAUAUGAAAUAAUACUUGAAGGAGGAUUUAGUAGUAAAAGAGAAAUAGAGUGUCUCUUUGAACCCGGCUCUAAGGCGCGUACACACCGCCCGUCACCCUCU
rnacentral:rRNA from 1 species